rnacentral:rRNA from 1 species
AGCGAACGCUGGCGGCAGGCCUAACACAUGCAAGUCGAACGAACUCUUCGGAGUUAGUGGCGGACGGGUGAGUAACACGGGGGAACGUGCCCUUUGGUUCGGAAUAACUCAGGGAAACUUGUGCUAAUACCGAAUGGGCCCUUCGCGGGAAAGAUUUAUCGCCAUUAGAGCGGCCCGCGUCUGAUUAGCUAGUUGGUGAGGUAACGGCUCACCAAGGCGACGAUCAGUAGCUGGUCUGAGAGGAUGCCCAGCCACACUGGGACUGCGACCCGGCCCAGACUCCUACGCGAGGCAGCAGUGGGGAAUCUUGCGCAAUGGGCGAAAGCCUGACGCAGCCAUGCCGCGUGAAUGAUGAAGGCCUUAGGAUUGUAAAAUUCUUUCACCGGGGACGAUAAUGACGGUACCCGGAGAAGAAGCCCCGGCUAACUACGUG